UGUUGUUUUACUCUUCCAUGCGGAUAAGGCACCUUAUACCCUCCCCUUUUAGCAUGUACUCAAAUGCUUUAUUAAUCUCUGAGAAUGGAAUUGAGUGAGUGAUAAAUUUCUCCACUUCCAGCUCCUGCAUCAUUAAUCAUUAACACAAAGCACUUACUGUCAUCAUAUGCUAUCAUAAAAUAAUUGUACUACUAAAUGUAUCUCCUCAAUCUAAGGGUAAGUAUGUAAAUCCCUUUCGAGUGUAUGUUUUUUCUUCCAAACAAGUGUCAUCCCCAUAAAUCAAAUUUUUAAUGUUUUAUUCUUUAUGAGAUCUAGUGUAACCUUGCACUACUAUACCAACGACUUGUUGGUAUACACUAUCAAAAUUGAAACAUGAGACCACUCUCUAAUAUUAGUAUCUCUAUGAUCACCUUGUUCAUGCACUUCUCCACAACAGAAGGAAGAUCCGUGCGGGGUUUGUAGUUACCAAAGAAGGUACCCUUAAGAGUUCUCCCAUCCAAGAAAUUCAUAGGAUGAGUUUUAAAUUCGGCAUCUUUUUUCGGCACACCAACAAGAACAGCAACACCCCAUCCCUGACAAGCAGCAUUUCAAAUGAAAAUUUAAUAAUAAUAAUAAACAGGUUAAGAUAAUAUAUGUUGUGUUCAAGUAACAAGGAUUUAGGACAAUACAUCAUGAACACAUUCAAAUGCAGCAAUGGAAGCUUGGAUGUUUCCAGUACAUUCAACAGCGCGAUCUACUCCUCCAUUAGUCAUCUCAGCAAUGAUCUUUCUCACCAAUUAAAUUUCAAUUAUCAUAGCAAAAAAGAGCAUAUUAGUUCUUGCCAUCCAAAUAUGAAUGUAAUAUCUAUGCACUGCUUAUAAAUAUUUAGACACACUCAAUAUUUCAUUCAUCAUUCAUUUGCAUAUAAAACUCGCAUUGCCCGGUGCAUACAUUUUUGUUUCUCUCAAAAUAUAUGAACACAAUUAAAUACUACAGGUAAAGCAAUACAAGAAUAAUAAUUUGUGGACAUAUGGUAGGUUAGAUCAUUAGACUUCACUAGUUAACUGUCUUUGGAGUAUGAACUAACCUGUUGUACAGGUUUGUUAUGAUCUUUAGGAUUCACAAAGUCAGUGACACCAAACUUUUUGGCUGACCAAAAAGAGAGAAAAAAGAAGAAAUUUUCAUCAGCAAGUAUAGCAAUAUAAUUAGAUUUUUGACUUUUGAGUAAGAUCUUAAUUAGAGUGAAAUAUCUACCUUCCUCAAAUCGGUUCGGAACUAAAUCAACCCCGAUGAUUCUAGAUACACCUGAAAGCCUUGCCCCUUCAGCAGCCUAAAAUGCCAUAUUUCAAGGUAAAAGAUAUAGUCUUACAUUCUUAAUUUUGUUGAAGGACAAAGAAUAAUGAAUGAAGAACAUACAGCAAGACCAACAGCUCCAAGUCCAAAGACAGCAAAAGAAGAAUCGGGCUUUGGUUUUGCAACAUUUACAGUAGCACCAAAACCUGCAUGAAUUGAACAAAAUUAUUAUAUUUUAAACAAAAAAAAGUCACAUUGACCAGAACAAGUUAUGCAUAGGCAGCAUAACCACUAUUAGAUAUAACCAAUCAAAUAUUUGAUUAGUCAUAAAAAUAACAAUCUAAAAACAACAUAACUGUUAAUACAAUUAAUUUAAGAUAUCUUCAACUUAUGAUUGAAAUGAUUCACUGUACUUCAAGUCACUAACUUUGAGUGAUAUGUACUGUUGGAUUAAAACUCAAACGGCUUAGAUUCCAAUUUAUGUUUUGAUUUAACUUUUUGAGAACAAGACCUAAGUUGUUUGAUCUUCAUUCAACCAUAAAGAUCAAUCAAAGUCGUCGCAUAUCUUGGUUGCGUUGUAGUAUAUAUUAUUACAAACCUGUGCAGAAUCCGCAGCUGAGAACACAAACUUUGUCAAGUGGAGCAGCAGGGUUGAUCUUUGCAACACAUCCAGCAUGAACAACAGUGUAUUCGCUGAAUGUAGAGGUUCCGACGAAAUGGUAAAUGGGCUGUCCAUUUUUCGAAAAUCUAGUUUUUCCAUCAUUGAGCAUAACACCUCUAUCUGUGUUGAUUCUGAGUAGCUCGCACAAGUUGCUCUCAUCUGACUUGCAAUGUGCACAUUCUCCGCACUCUCCAGUGAACACAGGGAGGGCAUGGUCCCCGGGUUUGAGAUCAGUCACACCCUCACCUAUGCUCUCCACAAUCCUAACACAAUAAUGUACAUCAUCACAAUUACAGUGUAUAAGGACUAUUUGGUCAAAAUAGUUACAAGAGAGUAUAUAUGUGUGUGUUAUUUAAAGGGAAAAUUGAAUGUAUCCUUAGCUAAAUAGGAAAUGAAACCUAAGGCAAAGGGUACACGAGAAAACAGAAUUUAUGAUCAACUAAAAAAGGGUGGUAGAUGUAUACAGUGUAACACUCGCAAGCGGAAAUGCUAUAUCAGGACAUUUAUGAUUAACCAUUAGUAACAAAUAUAUUUAUUAAGAAACGUACCCUGCAGCUUCAUGACCUAGUAUGCGGGGAAAUAAUGGAUUCUGGCCCUGAAAUUGAAAAGGAUAAAGCAGGUGAGGAGCAUCAAAAGCAAAUUCAUAUAUCCGAAGUGACCCUAUGAUCACUAGGAACAACAAUUUCCCCAAUACCGGAGAAGGGAGUUCUUGUUUUUUCUUUCAAUUUCAACGGCAAAAGUGUUAUUUCAUUGUAAAUAAAAGGUUUAAAGUGUGAUAGCAUGUUAUUUCAUUGUAAAUUACAUUUUGUACAUUUCAUGUUCAUAAAUUCUUAGAAUCUAAAUGAUUGAAAUCUUGUGUACAACAUUUUUAGACAACAUCAGGAUAAUAUUUGAUUUAGGUGAAUUUGGAUCAACAUUGAAACAUUACUUAUCUUAAGAUAGGGUAGAUAAAUAUAUAUAAAUCUUUGUAGUAUCAAAUUUUGUUCAUUGCAAAAAUAAGAACAUGACUCAAUCAUGUUACCUUGGCCUCCCACCAGUAAACAUCUGUACGGCAAAGAGAAUUGUAGAGGAUCUUCAAACGGACUUCACCGCGCUGUGGCGGCGCAACCUCGACUUCUUCUAUCACUAGUGGCUUCCCUGCCUCCCACGCCACCGCAGCUGCAUUAUUUUACAGGUAAUUAACAACUACUUAAGGCAAUUAAUUUGUAACAUAAGGUAGGCAUUUAUAAUGCAUAGCACAACAAAUGAAAUAUCAUGAAAUAAUGUAAAGUCUAGUAUACAUAUAGUUUAAGAAAAUGAAGAAAUUUGCAGCUAGCAAAUUUAAUACAUCAUGGCUCACCUCUGCACUUGAUGACCUUACCAACCUUGCUAGACAUGGCUACUAAGUAAGGAAUAUUAUGAAUCAAGUGAUGAUGAGUGUGUUAUGGUUCUGCCUUAGGGGAUUCUAUUUAUAUUGACAAAGUUAUUAAGCAUUUAGAAAAACCACCAUUAGUUUUACACUACAGAAUCUGAGCAGAUAGCUUUUCUUAACCUUUUCCUUUUUCUUGUAAUUACAAAAAAUAGGGUGAGUUGUGAAGCAACGGUAAGAUUGUUCUUUAGUCAUUAAGAAGUAACGAGUUCAAAUCUUGGACAUGGUCUCUCUUAUUGCAGAGGUAGGGCCAUAAGGGUGCAUCUAACCUCUUCAGGCUCUACUAAAUGAGAGUCUUGUCUCGUGCACGGGACCAUUCUGCAAAAGGGUGUGUCUUAGCGCAAUAGUAAGGUUGUUAUUUAGUAACCAAGAGAUCAUAAUCUUAAAAACAACAUAUUAUCUUUUACGAUAAUGUUGCACACAAUACUCACUAUGUGAGAGUCUAGUCAUCUAGUGCAUUGGGCCAUAUUUCUCUUGUAAUGACAAUAUGAGUUACACUAUACUCCAAUCUACCUGAGCUAUUGAAGUGUUUUUUUCUUUUGAUUCUUCUUGAGUGUCCAUGCUGAUAACAUCUGUAAUGCUAGUUGUUUGUAGCAUAUCAUGCCACGCAUGCACUUAAAUGACUAAUCUCCAAAACCACCUCUUAAAUAGAUGCUAUAUACAGCAAAAAGAUAUGAAAAGAAAGCAAGAAAACAAGAGUGUGUUAGUGUAUAAAUUGUUUGAACAAUAUUAAACAUUCUUGUUAGUUUCUACAAGAUGGUUCAUGGGUUUUCCUUGGACACAUUAUCCUCCCAAGGUUUCUUUCUAGGGUGGUAUUGCUUACCUGGUUUUAAAUAAGAGCAUAGCCUUCAAAGUGGUUUUUUCAUUUUUCAUUUUCUAGUGUCCAUUUUGUAAGGUUUUUAAUUUUCCAUAAUAGCCUUGAGACGUAUUAAGCUUCUCCAUCUAUUAUUGCAUGGUUUUCGAGAUUAGAUACAAAUCUGAACCCAAUAUUAGACUCUCCAAUUGGAAGAGAAUUUCAACCCAUUUAGCUUAUUUUCUCAAAUUAAGAGCUUAUUUGUCAAGUGGAUGGUUGUUUGAUUGUGAUUUAUAGUUUUUAGUGUGCAUAUAUGUAUAUUACGUUGUUGGGUUUGGAAUCAUUUGUGCUUAGUGUUGCUUAAUUGAUUUUACCUAAGAAAAGAUAAUCUCUCCAAGUGGUUUUGUUGUUUUUCUAUUAAUUGGAAGUUUUAUAUAUUAUUCACUACAACUACAACAUUUACAUGUUAUACCAUUUUCACAGAAAAUAGACAAAUAUGAAAAACAAUUAAGAGUUUAACAAAGCAAUAACACUGAAAACCCAAAAGAACAUGGUUAUCAAUUUCAUACAGUUUAAGCUAAAACACACAGUCCCCUCAUUUCAGCGCAAAAACAAAAGAAAGAAAAAAGAAAAAAAUGCAAUUUUGAGCAAUGAAAUGUAUGUAGUUUAGGACUCUUACAAAUAGAAAAGUGAUUUGAACCUAACACCAAGAUGCUAUGGAGGCACAAAAUUGAGUAAAUAAUUAAAUAUGCACAUGCCAGAUUUUGUUUUAACAUUCGUUAUUAUUUGAGCAUCGAAGAGAUGAGUGAGUGAGAAAUGAAAGAGAAAUAAUAGGGAAAAGAGAGAGAAAGAAGAGGGAACUUACAGUGAUAGUUAAGUAAUGGAAAUGGAGAGAAAAUAGAAGAUGGUGAAGUUCUAUUUUGUAGAUGCAGAGUGCAGUUGCAGAAGAAACUCCUUUUUCUUUCUCUCUCUAAAACUCUAUCGUUUGGCGUUUUAUCUGAAAAGAAUUUCAAACACCGGUCAUUUGUUUUUUCCUUCUUUAGUCUCCAGGUCUUGUGUUUUCUCCUCGAUUGUAUUUAUAAGGUGUAUAACGAAACGAAUCAACUCGAUAUUUAUUUGAAAUAAACAAAUCUAAUCGGGGUUAAGUAAGUAUACAAGUUCAUAAGCUGACUCGAUUAUAUAUACAUAUAGAGAGCUUCUUGGUUUAUACAUAUAGACUUUGAACUUAAGAACGAUAUCAAUCGAGCUAAUGAGUUAAAGUAAACAUUUCGCAAACUCCUAACGAAUUAAACCUAUUUUGGGUUGAUGGUAAAUCAAAAUGAAUAGUUCAUGAACUCAAAUUGAAUCAAGCAAGAAAACUAGCUUAUAUUAAAAUCUAGUGGAAAUUUGAGUUGAAUCAAUUCUUAUCGAGCUGAACAUGUCAGCUUGGUUAGGCUCGUUUAUAGAACCACCAAAUAAGUCUAAAAACAUCAAUCUCCCACAUAGUAGCCUAUGUGCCUCCACCACUCAAACAUCUAUAUUAAUUAUAGGACAAAGAGAUUUAAUUUUUUUUACAACAUAACCUAUAAGAUGGACUGAGAUUGUUAGGAAUAGACCUAUCUUUGAAAAGAAAAAUGUAACUUUGGUUUGUUGGAGCCACAUUGCUGGCAGUAAAUGAGAUUUCAGGUAGACUACCAUCUUCUGGUUGCAUGAGCCAAUAUAUGGUCUCUUAGUUAUUAAUACAAUUGAACAAUUCAGAAGCACUUUUCAUAUCUUAAUAUCUUCUAGUUUGCAUAGGUACCCUCAGCUACAUCAUUAUGAGAAUUCACCCAUUCCAUUGCAGUUUCAUGAUGCAUGAGAUAUUACACCAUUGCCUGAUAGAAAUAAAUAAUUUGUCAAACACUUACAAUGGGAGGUACAGAUUGAGAAAGAAAUACAUCUUAUUAACUUUGAAUCCUAACAUCAUGAUCUCAACUGUUCUCAUGCAUGGUGACAGGAGAGUGAGUCGGGCAGUAGCUGGCUCGGGGUGUUCUGGUUGGGUUGAGCUGAGUCUGGGUCGGUAGUGGUCGGGCUGGAAUGCUUUCUGGAGUCGCCUGAGUUGAGCUUGGACCUGUUGGUGGAGGUACGUGAAAAGGUGAUCCGGAGAUCAAGUUAGUAAGUGACUGAGGGAGAGAAUAAUAGCUCAAGGUAUGAGCAAUAAGUAUGUGUUAAUGUCAAGAGAUAGAGAACAUGGUCUAAGAUAUGAGAAUAAGUAAUAUUUCCUUAUGGGGUGAGUCCCCUAUUUAUAGUGGGGGAUAUAUGUAAUAUUCUUUGACUGGUGUUGUUGGCAUGACCGACCAUUGGGACUUGUCGGUCUGUUCUGGCUUAUUAGGAGGCUACUUUAUACUUGUCGGGUGGCCCACCCAUACCGUAUUCUGAGUAUGGUUGACUGAUAGCUUGUUCUAGGCUUUGUAGCUGUAGUUUAAGCAUGUCCUUGCUGUAGAGUAGGGAGUUAGCUGAGAACUACAUGUGACAUGUAACAAGUGUCGACAGCGUGACAAAUGGAUGACAGAGGUUUGGUCCCAUUACUCACUCGUGGGAUGGUAUUGGGUAAGAUAUGUCUCCUAGUAGUUCGAUUGGUUGGCUCGUACCAUGGACCCUUGUAACAUAAGUUCUUGUCAGGUAUUCAGGCUUGCUCAGCCUUGAGUAAUCCAACCCGGUCAAAGGGGAAGUUGUUUGACCAUGAUGGAGCACAACUCAAAUAGGUAACACUAAACUAUAUAUAUUCACAUAUCACCUUUAACAAUCACUAAGGAGCAUAACAUGUAUGUUUGUAUAGAACAGUAAUCAGUAAUCAAAAAGUGGUAUCAAUCCCAAAACCAGUUGGUAUCAGUCCCAAAACCAGUUCAAAUUCAUAAUAGCAUAAAACAAUGUGAAUGCUAAAUAUAGGUUAAAACUGUUUCAACCAAUUUCUAGAUGUUAUAUAUUAUAUUCAGGUUCAUUGUUAUUAAGUGCACCAAAUAGAAGCACCAAAUAGAAACAACUCAUGGGCACUUAGGCCCAUGAGUGUGGUAGAGCUUGUAAUCAUUAUUCUAUAAUAAUAUCAAUGCUCCUGGGAAGUAGACACAAUUGACCGAACCUCGUUACCAAAUUCUUUUGUUUCUUUUCUUCUAUUUAUUCUAUGCACUCUAUUUGUCUGCUGCACCAACAAUUGAUAUCAGAGCUAAUUGGUAGAUGGCUCUUAACCUAGGCACCAAAUUAUGGCUAAAGAGGGUGAAAGCAUGUUGAUUGGACAAGGUCUAUUAAAGGUAAUGCACGAGGAUAAAGUCAAAGAUGAGUUGAAGGAGAAGGAAACAUGGUGGGACCAUAGUUGUGUUGGAUCCAGCACCACAGAAGUCCACGUAUUGGAUUGAGACCAAGAUGAAGAUAAAGACAAAGGUGAUUGGUUAGAUGCUAACAAUAUCUCUCUAGAUGUUGAGAGAAUGAUCUCGUUUGAGAUGAAAAGUGGAAUUCCUAAUGGCGUGCGUGCAACGUUAAAAUCAAGUAUAUUAAUUGUUAGCAGAUUCACAAAAGCACAAAGGUGCUAAUUGAUUUUGAUGCAGGGUGUAACACGGGCAUUGCUUUGGGUGCAAGUUAUAACACAAACAUUAGUAGAGAAGCAUGGUGUGACAUAGACAUUAGCUUGGAUGCAAGGAUAUGGCAUGUAGAUUUGUUAGCAUUAAUACAAUAUGUACUGUGAGUAUACUCCUUAUGGUGAAGUAUAAUAGUUCUUUUGAACUAUGAUUGUCAGACUAGACAAUGGUGCAAGCAGUUGAGGCUUUUCAAGGAAGUUCAAUGGUUUAGCUAGCUGAGUAUUGAAGAAGACAUUUGUCAGUGAAGUUUGGUGUAGAAGUUCUAUAAUAUCGAAAGACUUCCUAGCAAUAGGUGGCUAGACAACAUGUUCUAUUAGAUGAUGGUAUGUGAAGGUACACUAAAGGUUUGGAGAGCUAGGCAUUUGGUAACAUCGUCAAAGAUACUCAGAAAGACUUAUGCUCAAGAGGAGCAAAACUCUUAUGUGGAGAAGUUGUUAAAGAGAAUUAGACAUUUGGCAAAGUGGAGUCAGAUAUUCGCUAAGGUGAAGAUUAUUGUGUAGAUUUCUCAAUGAGCGAAAUAUUCGUCUAUUUCAAUCAAUGUGAAGAUUGUUAAGAACAUUUGAAAUAUGUUAUUAUAUGAAGUUCCACAUUGCCUAGUAUUAGAAUAGAGUAGAAUAUUAAUAUUAUAUAUUGAAAUCAUGUCUCUUGUUAUUAAGUGCACCAGAUAGAAGUACCAAAUAGAAACACUCUAUGGGCAUUGGGGUCCAUGGAUGUGGUGGAGCUUAUAAUCCUUAUUUUCUAAUAAUAUUUUGGUAGCCGCUCAAUGCUCUUGGGAAUAUAGGCACAAUUGGUCAAACCUUCUUGUUUCUUCUCUUUUAUUUAUUCUAUGCACUUUAUUUGAUUGUUUGUGACCAACAGUACACAAUGAUAACUUCCGCUGCACCAACACUUAGUAUGAAAGCAACCUAACAUAAUUAAAGAUGAGCAGCUUAACAAAACAAAAACAUAAGCAAAUUUAUCACACCAAUCAUGCAUAACUCCUAUUAAACCACGGUCAUAUAGAAGUAUAGAACCAGUAAUGUGUUGAAUCCACUAACAGGAAGGAUAUUCAUAACCCAGAAGUCAUUCUGAAGAUUAUGCAGUGUUGUAGCAAACCUGCAUUUAUCAAAAUAAAGUUACCUCAUAAGACACACAUAGGUAACUGCAAAGCUAUCUUCAUUGUUUAAAAAUGUUAUUAUAGUCCAUAUUGCAUACUAGAUAACUAUUGUUAGGAGGGUGAACGAUUUCACCAUUAAAAUUUAGAAUCACUAAAUCACUAGAAUACUUUCAUCUAAAGAAUCGAAUUGAGGAAACUAGCUAGGAAUUCAAUAACAAAUUCAAAAGUUUCAAAGAAAUAAGCAGUAGAGAUUCUUGCAAGAAAGAAAAGAAGAUACAAGAAGAUUUUAUGAAGAAUUGUCAAAAUGUCAAAAAUGUCAAGUAAUUUGCUUAACAAGUUACUUACACAAAAGUCCCAACACUAACUAACUUUCUCUCCCAUUAACUAACUAUACUAUUACAAUUAUGCCCUUAAUAUUGCUCCUCCCAUACAAAAAUUGUUGCCCUCAAGAAUCGAAUUGAGGAAACUGCUAAGAGAAAUCAAAACAAAACUCUGAUGGAAGUAGAAGAGCUUCUUCUUUUCUGGAAAGAGAAAUUGUAUAACCUACACAAAGAACAUUAAAGGAAGUAAAAGAGCAUAUGGAACAUCGAAUGGUAGAGAAAAUUGAGAAAUGCAUGGUGGAGCUUGCAGAUGAAAUUCAAAAGACAUUGGCAGAAUCAUUGAGAAAUACAAGGAGGAACUUAUGAAAAGGAACAAGCAAGAUUCAGAAAGAUCACCCAAGAAUAGAAGCUUUAAUUCUAAUGAACAAGAAUGUAAACAAGGUGUUCAAUGCUUUGUUCCAGAUGAAUAAAAAUCUCAAUUCCUCACACUUCGCUUCUGAAAUUGCACUGUCUAGAGUUGAUUUUCCUAGGUUUAGUGGGGAAAAUGUUUAAGUCUUAGAUAAAUCAAUGUGAAACUUAUUUUAUGUGUAAUGGAACACUUGAGGAGUUUAAAGUAGAAUUAGGCAAUGCCUAUUUUGAAGGAAAAACAUUACAAUGGUAGGAUGUUUUUAAAUCUAAUUGGAAUAGUGUUUGGCUUAAAUGGGAUGAAUAUGUGAAAAUUUUGGUUAAACAGUAUAGAAAGCUGAAUGAUGAUACUAUUGUGGAACUAAUGAAUUUGAGAUAGAAAAUAUCAAUAAUGAAGAUUUCAAUACAAUCAUCACAAAAUUACAUUUGUCAAAAAUGUCAAGUAACUUGCUUAACAAGCUACUUAUACAAGAGUCUUACCAUUAAUUAACUUUCCCUCCCAUUAACUAUAUUAUUACAAUUAUGCUCUCAACAUUUGUAGCACUGUUGGGCUUUUAUUUACCAUAAACCAGAUUUUAGGUGAUGUUUAUUCAUCCAUUGUUUGGAAUUUUCACUUAAACAAAAAUCAUAUAUAUGCUCAUAGCCUCAUAGUAUUCUUGUCCUUUGUGUUAUUGUGUAUGUUAAAAGAAAUGAGAAUGCUAAGACUUGAAGUAUUGAAAAUGAGAAUUUUGCAUUACAAAAUGAGUAAUUGGUGUGGUGCCCACAAAGAUAUAAAACUAACAUCCUAGUCACCCUCCAUCAUAUCAAAAGAUAUGUUGUAUUUAUUUAGCCCUCAUACAAUUUUAUUUCACACAAUCACUAUAAAAGUCACAUCUAAGCAACAACCGUGAAAGGGACCAAGAAUUUAUUGCACACCAAACUUAUUCUUCAUUUUUUUUCACUUGAUAGAUAACAUUUUUCUCCUAGCAGAGAACAAUGUUGUUGUUGUUUUACUCUUCCAUGCGGAUAAGGCACCUUAUACCCUCCCCUUUUAGCAUGUACUCAAAUGCUUUAUUAAUCUCUGAGAAUGGAAUUGAGUGAGUGAUAAAUUUCUCCACUUCCAGCUCCUGCAUCAUUAAUCAUUAACACAAAGCACUUACUGUCAUCAUAUGCUAUCAUAAAAUAAUUGUACUACUAAAUGUAUCUCCUCAAUCUAAGGGUAAGUAUGUAAAUCCCUUUCGAGUGUAUGUUUUUUCUUCCAAACAAGUGUCAUCCCCAUAAAUCAAAUUUUUAAUGUUUUAUUCUUUAUGAGAUCUAGUGUAACCUUGCACUACUAUACCAACGACUUGUUGGUAUACACUAUCAAAAUUGAAACAUGAGACCACUCUCUAAUAUUAGUAUCUCUAUGAUCACCUUGUUCAUGCACUUCUCCACAACAGAAGGAAGAUCCGUGCGGGGUUUGUAGUUACCAAAGAAGGUACCCUUAAGAGUUCUCCCAUCCAAGAAAUUCAUAGGAUGAGUUUUAAAUUCGGCAUCUUUUUUCGGCACACCAACAAGAACAGCAACACCCCAUCC
rnacentral:lncRNA from 1 species